UUUCUAAAUAUGUGUGUCUAUGUGCAUUUAGGGGGAAGUUUCAUAGUGUUCACUGAGUUGUCAAGGUUGGCCAGCAGCCAAAUCAUGUAUGAACAACCAUCCUGUAAGUGCGGCCAGUAGGGAGGCUCAGGCACUAAAGGGCAGAGAAACAUCUCUAUGGGAUUUUUGAAGACAAACAGACAUGUGAGCCAUGAAUUUUCUCCUCCACGUCCUUAUACUGGACAUAACUUUAAACCAAGAAACAAGUUUUGGUUCUGCUGUACCCUUGCUAUGACCACCACCUGGAAUAUUGUUUUGGACCCAUCCACCCAGCCCAAAGGCUUUGACUGGUUGGUGUUGUUGCCUCAUUCUUCUUGGGCUGUAUAACAGAAUCUUGCACACUGAGCAGCUUAAAAACUUACAGUAAUUUGUUUUUUCACAGCUCUGGAGGCUGGAAGCUUAAGUGCAAGAUGCCAGUAGGGUUGGAAAGAACUGUCAGAUGGUAACCUUCUCUCUGUCCUGACGGGGUCUCUCUUUGGUCCCUGCCUGCCUGUGCACAGAAGGUGGGGGGGAUGGAGAGACAAAGAGUGAGCUUUCUGGUGUCUCUUCUCAUGAGGAACAGAUCCUGCUGGAUCUGAGCCCCACUCUUAUAACCUCAUUUAACCUUAAUUGCUUUCUUAGAGACCCCGUCUCCAAAUAUAGCCACACUGGGGUUCAGGUCUUUCAGAUAUGAUUUUUUAAGGACACAUUCAGCUCAUAGCAUGUGUCAUAUACCUAUGUAUAUAUAAUUGACG
rnacentral:lncRNA from 1 species